rnacentral:rRNA from 1 species
GCUAGUAAUGGCAGGUCAGCAUACUGCCGUGAAUACGUUCCCGGGCCUUGUACACACCGCCCGUCACACCAUGAGAGUUGGGAAUACCCGAAGCCUGUGAGCCAACAAACGAGGCAGCAGUCGAAGGUAGAAUCAAUGAUUGGGGUGAAGUCGUAACAAGGUAGC